rnacentral:lncRNA from 1 species
UAUUUUUAUUAUAUACUGGGUGUCAGUAAUUUUGCAUGGUUCUCUCAUUUUACCCAUACAAUACUCUUUCAAGGUUGACGUAAUCAUUUUAGGAAUGAACUAAGUCAGAGUAACCUUGAAGUGAAGCUUUCCUUAACCUUUAACAUUUUGUACCUCCAAAGCAAAUGUAAAAAGCAAUCUCUGUUGAUGGGGUAGAAUCAGGUGAUCUCAUGAAUAUGUUAUUAGUUGGUGUCAGAAAUAAAACUGUAAGAAGAUGCCAUACCGUUGCAAUACUCCUUGCCUACCAUUGAAAGACACUAGAAUAAUGAACAGAAUACUCAGUGUUUGCAGGAUGAAUGUGUCUAAAUGAUUGCCCGUAACACUUGAAAAGGAACAUGAUCUUCUUGAUCCGUCUAUCCACAAACUAAUAAUUUCUCUCUCUCUCUCUUAACUUUUAUCAAAUAAAUACUGUGAAACUGGUCUCUUAAUCCACAUUAUUAUUAAUACUUUUAAAAAUCCAAACAGAAUUUUGUGAUUCCUGAUUUACAGAUGAGGAAACUAAGCCCUGGAGAUGUGAAGAUAAUUCCAGCAGUCAGUGGCAGAGUCACGAUGUUCAUCUACCUCAGCUGAAAUAAAAAUCUAUGCCAUUGCUUUUGUGCUAUUUCUUCUCUAGAUGGUUAACAAUUGCUCAAUCUGCAAUCUGUGUUACACUUUCCACCCUAUAUUUUUA